GGUAGUGCGUUGCACUACUGCCGGCGACCGGCGCACGGGUGAGUAACACGUAUGGAACCUGCCCGCAGCAGGGGGAUAAGCGGAAGAAAUUCCGUCUAAUACCGCGUAACAACGUUGGGAGGCAUCUCCCGAUGUUUAAAGAUUUAUCGGCUGCGGAUGGCCAUGCGGCGCAUUAGCUAGUCGGCGGGGUAACGGCCCACCGAGGCGACGAUGCGUAGGGGUUCUGAGAGGAAGGUCCCCCACACUGGUACUGAGACACGGACCAGACUCCUACGGGAGGCAGCAGUGAGGAAUAUUGGUCAAUGGCCGAGAGGCUGAACCAGCCAAGUCGCGUGAGGGAAGACGGCCCUACGGGUUGUAAACCUCUUUUGUCGGGGAGCAAAGAGAGCCACGUGUGGCUCAUUGACAGUAACCGAAAAAAAAGCAUCGGCUAACUCCCUGCCAGCAGCCGCGGUAAUACGGAGGAUGCGAGCGUUAUCCGGAUUUAUUGGGUUUAAAGGGUGCGCAGGCGGAGGCGCAAGUCAGCGGUCAAAUUGCGGGGCUCAACCCCGUACUGCCGUUGAAACUGCAUCCCUUGAGUGCGCGAGAAGUAUCCGGAAUGCGUGGUGUAGCGGUGAAAUGCAUAGCCCUCCCGGAGAACACCGANAGCGAAGGCAGCANACCGGCGCGCAACNGACGCUCAGCACGAAAGCGGGGGGGCCCCCUAGGGAGAUACCCGNNNNNNCAAAAAAAAACGGGCUUGAUUGCGGUCGGCCAAAGUGAUGGCUGAGUAGUACAGCGAAAGCGUUAAGUGUUCCACCUGGGGAGUACGCCGGCAACGGUGAAACUCAAAGGAAUUGACGGGGGCCCGCACAAGCGGAGGAACAUGUGGUUUAAUUCGAUGAUACGCGAGGAACCUUACCCGGGCUCAAACGACACAGGCAUACUUUUGAAAGGAGGUAGCCCUUCGGGGUCUGUGUCGAGGUGCUGCAUGGUUGUCGUCAGCUCGUGCCGUGAGGUGUCGGCUUAAGUGCCAUAACGAGCGCAACCCCUAUCGCCAGUUGCCAUCAAGUAAAGUUGGGGACUCUGGCGAGACUGCCGGCGCAAGCUGUGAGGAAGGCGGGGAUGACGUCAAAUCAGCACGGCCCUUACGUCCGGGGCGACACACGUGUUACAAUGGCAGGUACAGAGAGAAGCCAGGUGGCGACACCGCGCGGAACUCGAAAGCCUGUCUCAGUUCGGAUCGGAGUCUGCAACCCGACUCCGUGAAGCUGGAUUCGCUAGUAAUCGCGC
rnacentral:rRNA from 1 species